rnacentral:rRNA from 1 species
AACGAACGCUGGCGGCAUGCCUAACACAUGCAAGUCGAACGAGACCUUCGGGGCUAGUGGCGCACGGGCGCGUAACGCGUGGGAACCUGCCUUGAGGUUCGGAAUAACUCCCCGAAAGGGGUGCUAAUACCGGAUGAUGUCUUCGGACCAAAGAUUUAUCGCCUUUAGAUGGGCCCGCGUUGGAUUAGCUAGUUGGUGGGGUAAAGGCCUACCAAGGCGACGAUCCAUAGCUGGUCUGAGAGGAUGAUCAGCCACACUGGGACUGGGACACGGCCCAGACUCCUACGGGAGGCAGCAGUGGGGAAUAUUGGACAAUGGGCGAAAGCCUGAUCCAGCAAUGCCGCGUGAGUGAUGAAGGCCUUAGGGUUGUAAAGCUCUUUUACCCGGGAUGAUAAUGACAGUACCGGGAGAAUAAGCUCCGGCUAACUCCGUGCCAGCCGCCGCAGUAAGAC